GUUUCAGGGUUUUGGGAGUUGCAACGGGACAAACAUUCGCUAAGCUCGUCGUACCGUUAGAGCGGGUUCACCGUACGAGCACGUUGGUUGUACCGUGUCGCGCGCGCCUAGACGAGAUUACUAGCGCCAUUCGCUUGCGCGCAUCAGCUGCGCAAUCACACAUUAUCAUCCGGCAUCGGUCCGGCUUGGUCUGGACCGGGUUCUUCCGGCAACAUUGUGCUUCGGAGUACGCUUGAGAAACCAAGUUUACCAACACCGAGUCAUGCCCCCCGAGUACUAAGACUGUUUCCGAUAUCGAUAACGAUCGUACACAAAUGUACUGUGGACGGUUGUGAUGCUGAUCUUCUCUAGGCCGGAGUGUGUGGAGUAGCUUCCGAAUGUGAUGCUGAUCGUGACGCUUUCCUUUUCGUACAUAGCUACCACACCGGGAGGACGUACAGCGUGACUCCGAGUGUAAACGUGUUGGGUUGUAUGUUAGUCUAUUAGCGUCUAUGUGGUUCCAAAAUACGUCACCUUUUCUUUAAUGGUGUGAGUCACAACCCCCCCCCCCCCCCACCGUCCCUAUCUGUUGUGCUGUGUGUGAAGAUAUCUAAGGUAUUAGCUGCGAUAAAACAGUGUCCACGCGUCUCCAAAGUUUACAUAAACUGCGGAUUGAGGGACACGGUUCGACGGUGUGUGAGUGUGUGUAAGUGUGGAAAGGUGCAAAGGUGGAUUAGUAGUGCGACGAGCAUGAGAAGCGAUAUGCAAAGGCCACCCCGUCUAGACGAUGGCCGCAGUAGCGACGAAGACACGCCACUGUUGGCAGCACCAAGGUACAGCUCCAUGGCCGUCUCAGCAGUAGCAGAUGCCGCAGCAGCAUCAUCACCACCACCUCCACCACCGCCAUCGGCAUCAUCUUGCUCGUCCGAUGGCGGGAAAGUGUCCAUCAGCGUGACCGAUCGUCUCUGCACCUUCGAACCGAUACUGGUGCUGCUCUGCUUCGGACUCAGUGUAUCAGGGGUGGUGCUGGCCGAUCAAAUUAUCUAUCAAUCGUGCGUCGUAACGCUCGGCUAUGAUCGAGCGCUCUGCGCCCAGCUCGGCACCAGAAGCAACUCCUCCGAUGUGGCGCAGCUGGAAACGAUCGUGCAACCGUACGCGGCUAAGAUCACGAUGGUGAACACGAUCCUGAUGUCGGUGCUGCCCGCCCUGUGCGCCCUGUUUAUGGGCCCCUGGUCGGACAAGUAUGGGCGCAAACCGGCCAUGAUUGUGCCGGCGGUCGGAUUCAUUACAACGUACGUCAUGAUCGGUAUACUGUCCCUGCUGUCUAAGCGCUUUCUGGUGGAUCCGUGGUGCUAUGUGGUGGCACACAUACCGGCCGCUAUCCUGGGAGGUAGUACCGUACUGAUGGCAGCCAUUUUUAGCUAUCUGACCGAUACGACGAGCGAGGCGAACCGUACGGUACGGAUCGGUAUAUUGCAGGCCUGUACGAUGCUCGGUGCGUUCGUGGGGCUGCUGUCGAGCAGCUUCAUCUUGCAGUGGACGAACGUACCGACCAUGUUCUUCCUGUCAGCGGGCACAGUGUCCGCCAGUUGUGCCUUUCUGUACUUCUGCCUGGAGGAUAGCAUCAAACCGGACGCGAGCAUGGUGCACCGACAGGUCCGGGAAAUCUUCCGCCUUAGCCAUCUGGCCGAAUUGCUGACCACGUUCUUCAAGAAGCGCUCCUUCUACGACCGGGGCAUCGUGUGGCUGACGAUCUCGAUCGGUAUCGUAACCGUGCUGGGCGCCGGCGGUGGGACAGUGUUUUUCCUCUAUACCCGGCGCCAGUUCGGGUGGACGAUACAGGAGUUUACCAUCUGGCAGGCGGUGGAGCUGCUUUCGAUCGUGGCCGGGAACGUGAUCGGCAUAUCGGUGCUGAAAACGCUGCUCAAGCUUCCGGACAUCUGGUUGGCGCUGCUGUCCGUGCUGAACUAUGCGCUCGACGCACUCAUCAAAGGGCUGGCACGGCAGGGCUGGGAACUGUUCCUAGCGACUGGUAUCACACCGCUGAAGGCUACCGAAGGGGCGGCACUGAUGGCGAUCUGUUCGGCCAUCAUACCGUCCAGUGAAAUUGCAAAGUUUUACUCGAUAGCGAUGGCCAUGACGAACACCGUCUCGCUGGCGUCGGCUCCACUGUUCACGUACAUCUACAACUCGACGGUGGCGACGUCCCCGCAAGUGUUUAACUUUGUGUCUUCGGGAAUAUUUUCCCUCAACGUCGUGCUGGUUGGGGUGAUUGCGGUGCUGCUACGUAAGCGAAGGAAAGCCCAGGCUGAUCCACUGUUUACGCAAGAUAGCGAAAUCUUAACGUGAGAAACGUGAACGCACCCAUGUGCCCGCAGCGUUCCUAGUCAUCGUGCUAAUAAAUAAUACCGCUACUGUACGUUGUGCUUUAGUGGUGUAACUUGUCACGUCCGACAAGAAUGACGAGUGACGUCUAACCACUACGUAGCGAAACAAAAUCAAAACAAACCUACUGUCAGCGUGCCGCCUCCUUCAAACCAUGCGGUUUGUUGUUCUUCGCCACCACGACGGACAGGAAUUGUGCGCGUAAUUCAGAAUCAAAAUGAGCAAAGCUGGAAAUACUAAAACGUCCCUGUUUAAAGCAGGCCGUAAGCAGCAU